rnacentral:rRNA from 1 species
UACGUAGGGCGCAAGCGUUAUCCGGAAUUAUUGGGCGUAAAGAGCUCGUAGGCGGUUUGUCGCGUCUGCCGUGAAAGUCCGGGGCUCAACUCCGGAUCUGCGGUGGGUACGGGCAGACUAGAGUGAUGUAGGGGAGACUGGAAUUCCUGGUGUAGCGGUGAAAUGCGCAGAUAUCAGGAGGAACACCGGAGCGGCGAAGGCGGGUCUCUGGGCCAUACUGACGCUGAGGAGCGAAAGCUGGGGAGCGAACAGG